GACAGGGGAUGCAAGCGUUACUCGGAAUUACUGGGCGUAAAGCGUCUGCAGGCGUCUCGUUAAGUCUGGUGUUAAAUUGCGAUGCUCAACAUCGUAAUCGUGCCGGAAACUGACGAGAUCGAGUCACUCAGAGGCAUCUGGAAUGUCGUGUGUAGGGGUAAAAUCCGUAGAUCCACGAUGGAACGCCAAAAGCGAAGGCAGGAUGCUGGGAGUGUACUGACGCUCAGAGACGAAAGCGUGGGGAGCAAAGGGG
rnacentral:rRNA from 1 species